AUGGGAUUUGCCUUUUUCAAGCAUCCAUAUACUCAGCUGACAUUUUCACGGAGCAGUCCACCAUAACUUAAGAUUCCUUUCCUAGCCAUUCAGUGCUUUGCUUGAACCCCAUCAGCAAACCUUUGAAAUGGCAUUAUUUUUAAACCACAGUGUGGAUCUCUUUAGUCUUUCUUACUCUGAAUCAUGUUUGCCAUUUUACUCUAUACGCAUUCUAAUUUUGAGAAAUCAUUUUGGAGCUCUUCACUAUACCCUGUUAUUGUAACCACCUCUGAAUAAUUUGGCGCCAUCAGCACCAGAACUAUUUCCCAAGGAUCUGUAUUUUUAACCAGGAAAAUUUUAUUUAAAAACAGUCAUAAUAUUAUUGUUUGGAAGACUUCGUUGUUUGUGCCUCUCCAUUUCAAGAAGUAAACAUUUAUUAUUUUUCUCUUCUUCCUAUUCUGCAUUGGAAAGAAAACAGGCUAACUCUUGAACCAGUUACCUGAAAUAGAGGCCUUCGAUGUCUCCCCACCCUCUAUGGAUAACGUAAUCUGUGGAUGCUUAAGUUCCAUUAUAUACAUACAAUGGUGUAGUAAAAUGAUGUUCCUUAUAUAAAAUGGCAAAAUCAAGGUUUGUUUGCCUUUUGGAUUUUUCUUUUAUUAUUUUCAGGCCAUGGUUGCUACUUAUUAGCAGAAUUUAUGACAUACUAGAAUUGUUUAUACCUUUCCUGUUUCAUAGUCUACUUUCUAGAUGAGCUUCUGUUAUUGUGGUUUUGUGUAACCAAGGGAUGAACACAACCCAUGGUUAGUUGGUUGGUUUGUUGUUUUUUCUACAAGGGUUUGGUCAUCAUUAAUGUGGAUGCUGGCACUCAGUAGCACAGCAGUAAUACCAGUAGUGUUUUUUUUCUUCUUUAGGUGCAUGCUUCCUGCAAUUUCAUUUUCCAGAAUCUUCCGAAACAAGGCAUUCUAGGAGCAAAUUCUCUGUUCAAAGAGAGAAGUGGGGGAACUACGCCUGUAUCAAUUAUCUUCUGCAUUAGGAAUAUAUGCAAAGAUGAAGAAAGGGAUAGAAAAGGUGUAGCGUGACUUCAUCACCCUAUCUACUCUGCAACUUUUCAACACCAAGAAAAACAUUGCAAAAAUCAGGCCUAUAUGCAUGCAAGUGGGAAGGGAAAGUUUUGUCUUAUUUCAGUUCACAAUUGCUCUGGGCCUUGUUGUUGGUUUUGCUACAGGACUGGAACAGGAGCAUAGCAUGAGAGCUAUGCUAUUUCUUAGAGUGUAAGUUUCAAAUGUUAAUGAAAGCUUACUUUUGCUCACUGAAAUAGCCUUUGAGUGACAGUAUCCUGAGGUUUCAGAUUGCAUUAUUUAACAUCAUCAGCACGAAUGUCUUGGAGAAGAUCUUUCAGAGAUAUAGAAUUAAGUUCCAUCAAAAUGUUGGUAGAAUUUCUCCUUUCUAUUGGAUUAUAGGAAGAAAGUAGAAAAUUUGAUAAGUACUCUGAGAAUAAUGAAUCACCAUACUGAAGCUUAAUUCACUCUAGGUUUGGCAGAAAGUUGGAUCAGGAAAUUUGAUUCUAGGCUGUUUUGGACAGGGUUGCACAGUUUUCAAAUGUCCUUUUGAACCAGCUUGGUACCAGAUGUUCAGAUGGUGGUUGUGUGUAGGAAAACUUUCACCUAGAUUAAAAUGCAGUUACUCAUUAAGAAAGUAGUCUGGCAUCUUCACAAAUAACAACACAUUUUUUUUAUCAAAACACAUACUAUAUGAGGUUAUGUUUAAAAAGCAUUAAGAAAGUCACAUGAGUGAAAUGUAUUGCUGCAAAAGUUCUGAGCAGACCAAACCUUUGUGACACCUGUAUUCUAAUUCAUAUUCUUGAAUAUCAAAAUGACUGAAGAAUCUUUAAACCAUUAUUCUAUGUAAUCCCUAUGAGACAGUGAAUUCUAAUAUUGUAUUUUUGAUAUUUCUGGUGGGGUUCAGCUCAGGUAUACAUAAGUAGAUCCACUUAUUAGCAUUUAAGCUUAAGUGGAUAUCUUAAAUUUUAUUAGUUUCAAUGGGCAUGUUCUAAGUGCAACUAAAAUCUGAACCCAAAUGAGGAUUUUCUAAGUGUACUGAAAUCUC